AUACAUCUAUAAUGUAAUUAUGGAGAUACUCAUCCUUCUGGCUAAGUGACAGAGACCAUACUUGGCUGAUAGUUUUUAGAGCACUAAGAUAUGAUAUAAUGCACCGAACACUAAAGUGAUCUUGAGUAAAAUAUAAUAUUUCUUGAAAGAAUUAGAAAACAUGGUAGGAUGUUUUAGGAUCAUCAUGAAGAUGAUGGAUGAUUGGAUUUAUGUUAAGUUUUGCUGUAAGUAAGUUGAAAGUAAAAUAAAAAUGUCCUUCUAUAGAGCAAUGAAGAUCAAUAAUUUGGAAGGUUCAUUUGUUUAACAAAGCUUAUUGAAUGCCAGGCACAGUGCUCAGUGCUAUGAUUAACAGAUAAAUAAAUGUUUUGGGGUUUGAUCUUUGCAGAUAAACUUUGGCAUACUUUGCAAACUCUCUUAAUAUUUUCUAGUUGUUUAGAUCAGUGAAAGAAAUGCAUUAUAGUUGUAGAUUUUAUACUAAUACUGGCUGCUCCUUUGUCUUUCCCUGUGGAUAAUUAAGGAAUGAAAUAGAAUGUCAAUGAAUAUGCUUGCUCCAGAGUGUCAUGACUAAUUUUAUCCCAAAUGCUGUGACCCACAAGUCAAAGGAAUUUUAAGAGUGGGGUAAAACUUUAGACAAAGCCAGAGAGUAAUUAAUGUCAUAGUAUGUGUCAUACCAUACCUGAUGAGGGUAUUAAAGUGCUUCAGUUAAGUCAACGUUUUGACUAAUAUUCACACUUUUCCUGCUGGCUCUAUAGCCUGAACUAACGAUGUAGACCAUUUGUCAUUGUCAAUGCCUAAAGCUGCAUCGGAAAAUGUCCAUAGCAACAGCAACAAUUCCCUGAAUAAAAUGCUAUGCUUUCCAGCAAUAAUUCCAAUGUCUUUACAUUCUCAGUUCCUCAUAUCUCACCCCCUUCUCUCUGAAUACUUUUUAGAGUCCUUCAGCUGCAGAGAGCAUAUGUGGUGCAUACCAUGUUUAGGGGAGGGUUUAAAUAUUACUAGGACUUACAAAGAUUUUUUUUUUAUUUUGCUGUAAAAUGUGUGAGGCUAGAAAGAAUGAUGGAGAGCUCUGGGGCAUUUAGUGCUACUCAAAAUGAUUACCCAGGCAUACAGGCACUCAGACAUUGUUGAAUGAAUGUCCAAGGAGCUACACACACCAUAAUAAUCAAGUAGAAAUGGGAGAAGACCUGGGGUUUUUCAACUACAAGGAAGGAAGCUGUGCAAUGUGCAAUAACCUAGCACCAGGUAAAGUGCAAAAGUUUUGUGUCAAGUGCAAUAGGGUGGAAAGGCUUAGGUUUGAAAUACUGUCCUGCUAUGUACUGUGUGAUCUCGCAAAAGUUAUUUAACUUUCCGUUCUUCGAUGAUUCCUCUUUAACUUAGGGAUAAUGGUACUGACACUGUAGGGCUCUGUGACUAUUGGAGCUGGGCUUACAUAGGGAUUGGAUCAAUGGUGGCUACCAUUAUUUCCAUGCUUUCCACAAAUGAUGCAAUCCUUAAGACUAAGGGUCCUGCAUUACUAAUCUUUGUAGACGAUAGCAUACUAGUUCAAUGCUUGACACACAAUAGGAAUUCAAUAUAUGUUAGUUGAAUUAAAAAGCAAUAUACAUGAUUUACUUUGGGCAUCAAAGAAGCUUUUUGUAUUGGAUGGGUUUUGCUCAUUUCUGGACUGAAUUAUCAUGGUGGAGAGUAGAAUAUUCUUUCUAAGCUUUCAAAAGUAUGAGAUUCUAGUGUGUCUAGAUGUCUAGUGUGUCUAGAUAGAAACUAUCUUAGUUUUCCCUCUUCACCACAUAAGGCUGCAUAUCUAUCUUAAGAUCUGUGUGAUGGAGGCUUGGAGCCAUUUGGUCGUGUCUGCAGGAAUAGAAUGUAAAAAAACAGAGCUCAUGUGCUACCUAGGUUUGCCAUUUGAGGCACCUUUGAUGUCACCAAACUAUUUUGCUGUUUCUUUUUUUAAAGAAAAAAAAAAUGGCAAGAGUGAUUGCUUACCUGAGAAGUCGAAUGAAAAAUUCCCAGGUAUCUAAUAUUCGUGAUGUCUUUGUAUGAAUGUAUUUUGGGUCAAAACCCCUCAAGUCUUCAAACCUGUGAGAGGGAGUGCUGUUACAGGGACCCCUUUUCUUUUGCAAGGAAAUUAGGACCAAACAUGAAUCCGUGCACUCUGUAUGUGGGCACGUUUUGAAUGUGGCUCUUUUAUUCCUAUAAAUAAAUAGAUUGUAGGGGAUAGAGAGAUUUGAACUCCUCUGCUUUUACCAGGCUAAAACUAUUAUUUCAAGUUUUCAGGGGACUGAUGCUAGUUCUUGGGGCUAACAUCCCAAGAUGUCUUUAAUUAUAUGGCUAUAGGGUUAAUAAUUAGCCCAAUGAAAAUGUGCUUAAUGGGCUUUUUCUCAUGCGUUUUUAAUAAAAAUUCCCAAAGUUCUGGCUCCUACCGCCCCAAACCAAAGUUCUGGCUCUGCGUCUUACCUUUCUUUCUUCCAGCCAGCUGGGCUCUGACUGUUUGUUUUCUGGUUCUGUUUGUUUGCAAGCUCUUGAAGAAAAUUUUUUUGUUUACCUCUUUGAUUGCUCUGAAUAAGAUAAAAUGGAUUCUGUUGAAUGCCAACACUGUGCGACUCAAUGGAUAAUUGAAUAUUAUGGGAAAAGCCCAGUUCCAAAAAGAUGAUGAUAUUCUUCAGUGAUAUAUUACAGAAGAAAUAUUGCAAUCUUCAUUCAUUGCAAGAAAACUGAGGCAAAGACAAGUGAAGUAACCUGCUGGAAACCCAGAGCAUGUAAGUCAUGGAUCAGAGCUGGAGUUCUAACUCAGAUGUUUGCCCCCGCACUGCCCACUCUCGACUACUAUGCUAUUUGGAGCCUGACAAAGGGGAAGAGAAAGGAAAGAAAGAAUGACAUUCCAGACAGGAGGAGGGAUAUGAAGUGAGGUGCAGACAUGAGAAAUUUACAAAACUCUAUAAGCUGGAAUUGGGCGAGACUGAGAGAGCAUGGAACCUAAUUUUUGAAAAGAAAAAUGUCUGAGAGGAACACGAUUCUGAAAUACAGUACCAAAUACAUAAGCAGUCGAUGGAAAACCAGCACUGCUGAAGAGGAACCAAAAUGAAUGAAUGGCAAAUCUUCUUUUGACAUUUCUAUCACCUUUCUGCCUUUGUUAAUUUUCCUCUUCCUCAGCGUGAGAUGAUACAUAGGAAUGUCAACAACUUGCCAUGUAUUUCCAUCUCCAAAGAUGUGCCUUUCAUCAAUCUGCUGCUUACAAUCCAACUGACUUGAGAUCUACAUCCCAAGAAAUGGACAAUUUAUCAUAAAAAUGAAGAAGGGAAAUAAUUCAAAGACUUCAGGUCCAGUGAUUAAGGACAGUGCUCAUUUAAAUGUCUUCAAAUGGUUUCUGUUGACCAAAAACUAAUGUUCUAACAGUUUUAAUUUUGAAGACAAGCUUUGGAAUAAAGUGACAAUCCAUUGACAAAACAUAGCUGAGUAUCUUGAGCAAAAAUUUAAACUUUGGUUUUAUAAAAGAAAGGUCAAGGAAGUAGUUAAAUUAGGCAAUUAUUUUUUACUGAUUAAUUGGUUAUUAACUCUUUCUUUUUCAAUUCUUGGGUACCCUACCCUCUGAAUCUGCAAAACUUUUCUACUUUUUAUGUCCUUUCUUAUGACAAAUAGCAUGUGACCUCUAAUUCUAUGGCCUGGCUCCCAGCUGGAUGAUAGAUGAAUAGGUUUCUAUCCAUAUGAAUAAUGUCGAGAGAGAACAAGAUUCCAGAGAAAGUUGGUGAAAUCGAAUGAAAGUGGUAGAUCAGAGAUAAAUGAGGUAAAGAAUGGGAAAACAGUAGAAAUAAUCAAUAAGCCCAAGGCUGAUUCUUUGUAAAGAAUAAUAAAACUGACAAACUCCCAGCAUGUCCGAUCUCAAGCAUAAGUGAGCAGACGCAGUUAAGGAAUUCUUUGAACAAAUGGGAUCAAAACACAGACAACAUUUGAAGCACAUUUACUCCAGUAAGUUUUACAAUCCCAUCAAACUGUUUACUUUUCUAACAGCACAAGUGACCAAUAUUGACUCCACUCAUAGAGUGACCAACUGUGUGGAUGGCAUGACACUGAGGAAGUUCCAAGAGUGUGGAAGCAUCAGUAUUAAAAGUGGGAACAUUGAAGAGGAAACCAAAGAUGAGCUGCUCACCCCAACUCCCAAGGAACAGGAAAAUUGUAUGCAUCGCUAUCUGGUUAAAUAAAUGAAUAGUCUAGAAAACUCACACACUUCACCAAGUGUAUCAGGUCUGAGAGUAUUUUAUAACUGAAUUUACCAGACCUUCAGAGAAGAGUUACUAUUAAUUUGAUAGAACCGUUUUAAGAAAACAGGAAAAUUAGGGAAUUCUGUUUAACUCCUUUUUUAAAAAUGUUUGUUUGUUUGUUUGUUUGUUUGUUUGUUUAGAGAGGGAGAGCACACGUGUGCACAAACUGGAGAGAGGCAAAGCGAGGGAGAGAGAGAGAGAAUCCCAAGCAGACUCUGUGCUGUCAGCACAGAGCCUGAUGUGGAGCUUGAUCUCACAAACUUCGAGAUCCUGAGUAGAAAUCAAGAGUCGGACGCUGAACCAACUGAGCCACCCAGGAAGUGUAUUUUUAAAGUGGAGUCAGCUUAUCACUGAAAUGUCAACAGGGGUCUGGUGGCCACAUCUAGUUUUACAGGUAAGAACCAAUCCUACAGUUUUGUCUCAAACACCUCUGGAGCUUGAAACAUGUUCAUCUGGAUGAAUGGCCUGAGAAAGACUUAACUUUUAUUAGUGAAAGUGACCAGGACAGGCUUACCCUGAUGUGACCUCACAGUGCCAACUCCUCAUAAACUUUCUAAUCUUAAUGCCGUGAGCUUUCCACUGCUACUGAAAUUAUCUUUUUGUUUUAAUUAUUAAAUUGACUUCAAGACUUGAAGACCAAGUUCAUAUACACAGAUAUGUGCUUAGAGAUAUUUAUCUCCAAAUGAUAUGAUAAUGAGUGUUUACAAACCAUUCAUUAUAAAUUCUGGAGCCACAAAGAACAGUGGAGAAAAAGCUUUCAGUGGGCAGUUGUAGUUAGUUUAUCAUGAACAUUCUGGCUUAGGUGUGCAACUUGAGAGCAGGUUAGGGUAAACUGAGCAAGAUCUAGAAGGCUCUGGGCAACUAGACACAUUUGGUGCCAGAAAUGAGAAAAGGGAUAUGGUCACAAGGAAAAGAUCUUGAAGCAAUAGGUGACAUCCUGUUUCAUCUAGCUCAGCUAUGACUUUAUGUAUAUUUUUGACCCUGGUAAAUAUGUGCUAUGUAAAAUUAUAUAAGUUAAAAAUGUGUGUUUUUCAUUAUUUGUGAGUAAUGCAGAAAGUCAAUGACCAUAGUCAUUUGUAAUUUUCCUGAGUUGAGAUUUAAAUCCAAGUGGUUAGGCAUGGGACUGAGACAUGAAGAGUCACUUAAGAGAAAUCCAGGCAGCUGUCACAUUCUCAUGUCAGGGAGGUCACUAUUUCCCUUAAUCAUCUUGUCAGCAGUAAUUCUUCUGAAAUGGUAUUUAGACAGUAGCCAAGAUUUAAAAGGAAGGAUUCUUAGUUGGAACAAAGAAGCUCGAGAUCUGUUAAAAAGAGGAUGUGCUUUUUUUUUAAUCUUAUUUUUCCUUCCCUGUCCUGAUGUUCAUCUAUUGAGUUUCUCAAAUGCCACAUAUGAGUGAAAUCAUAUGAUAUCUGUCUUUCUCUGCCUUAUUCCGCUUAGCAUAAUACCUUCCAGUUCCAUCCAUGUUGUUGCAAAUGGAAAGAUUUCAUUUUUUCAUUGUCAAGGGAGGCAAAUCAUAAGAGACUCUUUAAUACAGACAACAAACUGAGGGUUGU